UCCAUAGGUUAAUGAGGCGAACCGGGGGAACUGAAACAUCUAAGUACCCCGAGGAAAAGAAAUCAACCGAGAUUCCCCCAGUAGCGGCGAGCGAACGGGGAGGAGCCCAGAGCCUGAAUCAGCAUGUGUGUUAGUGGAAGCGUCCGGAAAGGCGCGCGAUACAGGGUGACAGCCCCGUACACAAAAGCGCAUGUGCUGUGAGCUCGAUGAGUAGGGCGGGACACGUGGUAUCCUGUCUGAAUAUGGGGGGACCAUCCUCCAAGGCUAAAUACUCCUGACUGACCGAUAGUGAACCAGUACCGUGAGGGAAAGGCGAAAAGAACCCCGGCGAGGGGAGUGAAAAAGAACCUGAAACCGUGUACGUACAAGCAGUGGGAGCACAGGUUUACCUGUGUGACUGCGUACCUUUUGUAUAAUGGGUCAGCGACUUAUAUUCUGUAGCAAGGUUAACCGUAUAGGGGAGC
rnacentral:rRNA from 1 species